rnacentral:rRNA from 1 species
UCCUCCCUCUGGCGGCGUGCUUAACACAUGCAAGUCGAACGGAAAGGCCCUGCUUUUGUGGGGUGCUCGAGUGGCGAACGGGUGAGUAACACGUGAGUAACCUGCCCUUGACUUUGGGAUAACUUCAGGAAACUGGGGCUCAUACCGGAUAGGAGCUCCUGCUGCAUGGUGGGGGUUGGAAAGUUUCGGCGGUUGGGGAUGGACUCGCGGCUUAUCAGCUUGUUGGUGGGGUAGUGGCUUACCAAGGCUUUGACGGGUAGCCGGCCUGAGAGGGUGACCGGCCACAUUGGGACUGAGAUACGGCCCAGACUCCUACGGGAGGCAGCAGUGGGGAAUAUUGCACAAUGGGCGGAAGCCUGAUGCAGCAACGCCGCGUGCGGGAUGACGGCCUUCGGGUUGUAAACCGCUUUCGCCUGUGACGAAGCGUGAGUGACGGUAAUGGGUAAAGAAGCACCGGCUAACUACGUG